rnacentral:lncRNA from 1 species
GAUCCUCGAUCUCGAUGAAGGCACGGUCGCAGAAACCCUAAAUUGGGAGAACGUGACUAGGUCUGGUCCACCACCAAAACCUCCACCAACACAGAGAGAAACUAGAAAAUUAGAAAGAAUCUAUUGAGAGAGAUCUGUCGAAUUGAGAGAGAGAUCUGUCGAGAGAGAUAUGUCGAGAGAGAGAUCUGUCUGAAUCUGGAUGGCUGGCGGAUCUGGCUUCUCUUCACCGGAGAGAGAUAAGGGUAGGGGUGAGGACGACUGGAUUUGGGGGAGCUAGGGCUCAGGCGCCGGAGCUCGAGCAGAGAGGGAGAGUUGUUGAGGGCGGCGGCUGUAGCAGGAGUUGUGGUCGCCGGAGGAGAUGAGAAAAAGGUGUUGUGCGUCGUNG